rnacentral:rRNA from 1 species
GGAAUGGACGCACCGCUGGUGCACCAGUUGUCAUGCCAAUGGCACGGCUGGGUAGCUAAGUGCGGAAGGGAUAAACGCUGAAGGCAUCUAAGCGUGAAGCCCCCCUCGAGAUAAGAUAUCCCAUACGUAAGUAGUAAGGCCCCACGUAGACUAUGUGGUUGAUAGGUCACAGGUGUAAGUGCAGUAAUGUAUUAAGCUGAGUGAUACUAAUAGGCCGAGGGCUUGACCAAGAA